ensembl:misc_RNA Metazoa_SRP Metazoan signal recognition particle RNA
GCCGGGCGUGGUGGCUCAUGCCUGUAAUCCCAGCAUUUUGGGAGGCUGAGGUGGGUGGAUCACCUGAGGUCAGAAAUUCGAGACCAGUCUGGCCAACAUGGUGAAACCCCAUCUCUA